GAAUGCUAAUACCGGAUAACAACAGAUGAUGCCUAUCAACUGUUUAAAAGAUGGUUCUGCUAUCACUCUUGGAUGGACCUGCGGUGCAUUAGCUAGUUGGUAGGGUAACGGCCUACCAAGGCGAUGAUGCAUAGCCGAGUUGAGAGACUGAUCGGCCACAUUGGGACUGAGACACGGCCCAAACUCCUACGGGAGGCAGCAGCC
rnacentral:rRNA from 1 species